CCUACGGGUGGCAGCAGUGGGGAAUAUUGGACAAUGGGCGAAAGCCUGAUCCAGCCAUGCCGCGUGUGUGAAGAAGGCCUUCGGGUUGUAAAGCACUUUCAGUGGGGAAGAAAGCCUUGGGGCUAAUACCCUCGAGGAAGGACAUCACCCACAGAAGAAGCACCGGCUAACUCCGUGCCAGCAGCCGCGGUAAUACGGAGGGUGCGAGCGUUAAUCGGAAUUACUGGGCGUAAAGCGCGCGUAGGCGGUCUGAUAAGCCGGUUGUGAAAGCCCCGGGCUCAACCUGGGAACGGCAUCCGGAACUGUCAGGCUAGAGUGCAGGAGAGGAAGGUAGAAUUCCAGGUGUAGCGGUGAAAUGCGUAGAGAUCGGGAGGAAUACCAGUGGCGAAGGCGGCCUUCUGGACUGACACUGACGCUGAGGUGCGAAAGCGUGGGUAGCAAACAGGAUUAGAUACCCCAGUAGUC
rnacentral:rRNA from 1 species